AUGCGCACAUUCGCCCGCAUUCCGAUGGAAGAAUUAAAUACUCAAAAAUUCUAUUCUCUGCAACUAACAUUCUCUGCUUAGAGAAAUGGCCUACCAUUGAGUUUUCCGGUCCUUGCAUGUAAGUUGGGUCAUAAAGCAGCAUGAAUCUUGUGAAAUUUAAGUAAAGAGAAAUUAAAUGAUUCAUCAACUAGGGAUAGCAAUCUUACUCCUGAUUUGAGCAAGAAUUCAAGGAUCCCUUGCCUGAAACAGACAACAUACCACUAGAGAAAUGUUUGAUUUUUUGGUAACACCUGCCAUUGAUCAAUAACUUCAUCUAUCAUUGUUGACAUCCAUGAUCCAUGAAAUGAACCUUGUUUAUGAAACUUUUCUGAAGGACAAAUAUCUUACUAGCUAAGUCACUUCUCAUUUUGCCUACUCUUUCAAAUAAACCAACGGAAAGGUGUAAAGCAAGAACACUUAAAACUUUCACUUAUCAUGGUUGAGAUGCUCGUUGUGCUGGUCUAUUAGCAUAACACUGCAGAUCACUUGGGGUUCUGUGUUGUAUUUUCGGCCUUCAUAUCUGCUAAGUGGUGAAUUAGCAGGGAUCACUUAGGAGUUAUAUGAUGGAGUUUGGACUUCCAUAGCUGGUAAAGUUGCAGCUCAUAUAAGUAGGUACAGAAAACAACAUGAACCUUGUGAUUGCCAAAGUAAAUAUGGGGUUUUUUAAUCUGAGAUUGUACGCCAAACAGACAACAUAUCACUUCAGCAAUCCUUGAUUUUUGGGAUCACUUAGAAGUUCUAUGUUGGAUUUUGGACUUUCAGAGCUCCGUAAAGUUGCAGUUAGUGAUUCCAUGCAGUAGCACUUGAACAAGGCAAGGAUGGGAAUUUAUGUGAAAUCUUGUUACCAAUGAAGUACAGAAAAAACAAAGUUGGUGGUCCUCUUGGAUGGGAUGAUCUGGACUGUCUUUCUAAUUAUUUCCUGCGUUUCAAUUUGUUUGUCUUAUUUUUUUUUUAACUUUACAUUUUAAUAAGAAUGUAUCUUUCCUUUUCUAGCAACUAUUUGAUUUUAAUCUGAGUAUUAGGUGUGUA